GCACAAGCGGUGGAGCAUGUGGUUUAAUUCGACGCAACGCGAAGAACCUUACCUGGGCUUGACAUGUUGGUGACCGCCGUGGAAACACGGUUUUCCUUCGGGACACCAUCACAGGUGGUGCAUGGCUGUCGUCAGCUCGUGUCGUGAGAUGUUGGGUUAAGUCCCGCAACGAGCGCAACCCCCGUUCCAUGUUGCCAGCAUUAAGUUGGGGACUCAUGGGAGACUGCCGGUGACAAACCGGAGGAAGGUGGGGAUGACGUCAAGUCAUCAUGCCCCUUAUGUCCAGGGCUACACACGUGCUACAUUGGCGCAUACAAAGGGCAGCAAUACCGUGAGGUGGAGCGAAUCCCAGAAAGUGCGUCUCGGUUCGGAUUGGAGGCUGAAACUCGCCUCCAUGAAGCUGGAGUUGCUAGUAAUCGCAGAUCAGCAAUGCUGCGGUGAAUACGUUCCCGGGC
rnacentral:rRNA from 1 species